AGUUUGAUCCCUGGCUCAGAUUGAACGCUGGCGGCAGGCCUAACACAUGCAAGUCGAGCGGCAGCGGGAAAGUAGCUUGCUACUUUUGCCGGCGAGCGGCGGACGGGUGAGUAAUGCCUGGGGAUCUGCCCAGUCGAGGGGGAUAACAGUUGGAAACGACUGCUAAUACCGCAUACGCCCUACGGGGGAAAGGAGGGGACCUUCGGGCCUUUCGCGAUUGGAUGAACCCAGGUGGGAUUAGCUAGUUGGUGGGGUAAUGGCUCACCAAGGCGACGAUCCCUAGCUGGUCUGAGAGGAUGAUCAGCCACACUGGAACUGAGACACGGUCCAGACUCCUACGGGAGGCAGCAGUGGGGAAUAUUGCACAAUGGGGGAAACCCUGAUGCAGCCAUGCCGCGUGUGUGAAGAAGGCCUUCGGGUUGUAAAGCACUUUCAGCGAGGAGGAAAGGUUGGCAGCUAAUAUCUGUCAGCUGUGACGUUACUCGCANAAGAAGCACCGGCUAACUCCGUGCCAGCCGCCGCG
rnacentral:rRNA from 1 species